ACUUAAAUUGAAGAGUUUGAUCAUGGCUCAGAUUGAACGCUGGCGGCAGGCCUAACACAUGCAAGUCGAGCGGUAGCACAGAGAGCUUGCUCUCGGGUGACGAGCGGCGGACGGGUGAGUAAUGUCUGGGAAACUGCCUGAUGGAGGGGGAUAACUACUGGAAACGGUAGCUAAUACCGCAUAACGUCGCAAGACCAAAGUGGGGGACCUUCGGGCCUCAUGCCAUCAGAUGUGCCCAGAUGGGAUUAGCUAGUAGGUGGGGUAACGGCUCACCUAGGCGACGAUCCCUAGCUGGUCUGAGAGGAUGACCAGCCACACUGGAACUGAGACACGGUCCAGACUCCUACGGGAGGCAGCAGUGGGGAAUAUUGCACAAUGGGCGCAAGCCUGAUGCAGCCAUGCCGCGUGUGUGAAGAAGGCCUUCGGGUUGUAAAGCACUUUCAGCGGGGAGGAAGGCGUUAAGGUUAAUAACCUUGUCGAUUGACGUUACCCGCAGAAGAAGCACCGGCUAACUCCGUGCCAGCAGCCGCGGUAAUACGGAGGGUGCAAGCGUUAAUCGGAAUUACUGGGCGUAAAGCGCACGCAGGCGGUCUGUCAAGUCGGAUGUGAAAUCCCCGGGCUCAACCUGGGAACUGCAUUCGAAACUGGCAGGCUAGAGUCUUGUAGAGGGGGGUAGAAUUCCAGGUGUAGCGGUGAAAUGCGUAGAGAUCUGGAGGAAUACCGGUGGCGAAGGCGGCCCCCUGGACAAAGACUGACGCUCAGGUGCGAAAGCGUGGGGAGCAAACAGGAUUAGAUACCCUGGUAGUCCACGCCGUAAACGAUGUCGAUUUGGAGGUUGUGCCCUUGAGGCGUGGCUUCCGGAGCUAACGCGUUAAAUCGACCGCCUGGGGAGUACGGCCGCAAGGUUAAAACUCAAAUGAAUUGACGGGGGCCCGCACAAGCGGUGGAGCAUGUGGUUUAAUUCGAUGCAACGCGAAGAACCUUACCUGGUCUUGACAUCCACAGAACUUUCCAGAGAUGGAUUGGUGCCUUCGGGAACUGUGAGACAGGUGCUGCAUGGCUGUCGUCAGCUCGUGUUGUGAAAUGUUGGGUUAAGUCCCGCAACGAGCGCAACCCUUAUCCUUUGUUGCCAGCGGUUAGGCCGGGAACUCAAAGGAGACUGCCAGUGAUAAACUGGAGGAAGGUGGGGAUGACGUCAAGUCAUCAUGGCCCUUACGACCAGGGCUACACACGUGCUACAAUGGCAUAUACAAAGAGAAGCGACCUCGCGAGAGCAAGCGGACCUCAUAAAGUAUGUCGUAGUCCGGAUUGGAGUCUGCAACUCGACUCCAUGAAGUCGGAAUCGCUAGUAAUCGUAGAUCAGAAUGCUACGGUGAAUACGUUCCCGGGCCUUGUACACACCGCCCGUCACACCAUGGGAGUGGGUUGCAAAAGAAGUAGGUAGCUUAACCUUCGGGAGGGCGCUUACCACUUUGUGAUUCAUGACUGGGGUGAAGUCGUAACAAGGUAACCGUAGGGGAACCUGCGGUUGGAUCACCUCCUUACCUUAAAGAA
rnacentral:rRNA from 2 species